CUUAUUGAGAGUUUGAUCCUGGCUCAGGAUGAACGCUGGCGACGUGUCUAAGGCAUGCAAGUCGAGGGGUUCGUAGCAAUACGGACACCGGCAAACGGGUGCGUAACACAUUGGUAACUUACCCCGAAGUCAUGAAUAAGUCUGCGAAAGCGGGUCUAAUACAUGAUGGCAGCGAGGGGACUAAAGUCAUUCUCGCUUAAAGAUUUAUCGCUUCGGGAAAGGCCUAUGGCCUAUCAGCUAGUUGGAGAGGUAAUGGCUCACCAAGGCUAUGACGGGUAGCGGGAUUGAGAGAUCGACCCGCCUCACUGGGACUGAGACACUGCCCAGACUCCUACGGGAGGCUGCAGUCAAGAAUAUUCCCCAAUGGCCGAAAGGCUGAGGGAGCGACGUCGCGUGCAUGAAGAAACCCUUCGGGGUGUAAAAUGCUUUUAACUGGGAUGAACCCCUUACCACUUUCCGUGAAAUACUACGGAGCUAUAAUAUUAAAUAAUUUUUCGCACAAAUAAUUAUUUAUUAUUUUUUCAUAGAAAGUGGCAAGGGGUGACAGUACCAGUUGAAUAAGGGGCUGCUAAACUCGUGCCAGCAGCAGCGGUAAUACGAGUGCCCCAAGCGUUAUCCGGAUUUAUUGGGCGUAAAGCGUACGUAGGUGGUUUAUCGCAUCUCCUGUUAAAUCCCGAGGCUCAACCUCGGGGCCGCGGGAGAGAUGGCUAAACUAGAGACCGGGAGAGGUAAGUGGAAUUGCUGGUGUAGGGGUUAAAUCCGUUAAUAUCAGCAAGAACACCUAAUGUGAAGACAGCUUACUAGAACGGUUCUGACACUAAGGUACGAAAGCGUGGGGAGCGAAUGGGAUUAGAUACCCCAGUAGUCCACGCCGUAAACGAUGAAUGCUGAGCAUUGGAAGUAUCGACCCUUCCAGUGCUGUCUACCUAAGUUAACACCUUAAGCAUUCCGCCUGGGGAGUACGAGCGCAAGCUUAAAACUCAAAGGAAUAGACGGGGACCCGCACAAGCGGUGGAGCAUGUGGUUUAAUUCGACAGUAAGCGAGGAACCUCACCAAGGUUUGACAUCCGGCUGCAGAC
rnacentral:rRNA from 1 species